ensembl:lncRNA novel transcript
GUGGCAUUUUUCCUAGGGCUGUUCCGAGAGAACAGCGGGGAUUGAAGGGACGGAGGCAAGGAGAUGCACAAUCCGGGCAGCUCUCGCUCUUCUCGGAAGGCGAAGGGAGUUUGGCGGAGAAGACGGGGUUGAUUUUCAAAUCAUGGACGGCUUGGUGACCUUAGCAGGCCCAGAAAGAGGGCUCCUCCAAUUCAGGUGUGGAGAUUGGGAAGGUGACAAGGUGAAGGCAAUUGAAGGAAGAGCCGAGGGGGACAUGGGGAAGGAUUUUGUUUCACCCCUCCUAAGUUGAACCAUUGUCCUUUGAAGGCCGGCUCCUGGAGAAAUUAAAGGGCCCCUGUGUGACACAGCCAUGUCAUACAUAAACAGAACUCUGAAGCCUAUCAACUCCUGAGGCUAAGUAAGAGGGAAUGUAGGGGCCAAGGCAGAAGAGAAACCAAAACCUCAGAGCGCUGAGCAAAGAUGCCAAUCAGAGAAAGAGAAAUUCAUUUGCGAUGUUAAUUAACAAGCGGCUAAUUAAAACGGCACUUUGAGUGCUAAUCAAUCGCCUUAUUAAGUUACAGCCAUCACUGGAACAAAUUGAAACCUCCCCGCCCCGUUUUCUGCCUUUGGUGCAGGCGGGGCCGCGUUCCCAGAUACCGUGAGAGGCCUUGGGGCGCGGAGGUUGGGGGCAGCCUCGGUCAGCUUUCUCAGUCUCUCCCAGGUCUACAGAAUACGCCACUGGACAAGUGCCUAAGCAGCGACUUCUGGUCCAGACACACCGCCCGGGGAGUAAGUAGUUGCGUCGAAGAACAACUCAUUCAGCAGCAGUUAACACCGACGUUUCCUCCUAGAAAGAGCUCCCGCAAAGCGGGGGGAUGUGACCUGUGGGCCCCCAGCAGGGGUAGGAGGCAGUUCAGCCCGAGAGGGGGCGCUCUAGGGCCUGGAUCCUGCAUCCCUAUUUCCUGGAACACACCCAACGCCUCAUUCUGAAAACCCUGCUUAGGCCCUGGCCCUGGUGCCGCUCAGCAACCAGGAAAGAGCUGGACCUGCCUUCAGGCAGCAAGAACAGGACUGCCAGCCUCCUGUGGCUCUGUCUCCCGAGGCUCCAUGAGAAGGGGAUGGGGGUGCAAGAAGGGAAGAGUGAGGUGGUGUGCUGGGCGUCGGGGACGAGGACGCACGCCAGCCAAGACGUGCCUCCCACCCAGCCCACGCGCGCUUCCCCACCCCCCUGGCCCUCCAAAAUCGGUAAGAGAAUUAAGAUUUCGAAUCCCUAUUUUGAGGAGCCUUCCGCAUUUCCUAAUUGUUAAAUUCCUGCUUUUCACCAAAUUCCCGGGGGAGAAACAUUUGGCAAUAAGAAGGGACUGUGAAUUUAAAUGCUAAUUGAGUGGGUCCUUUUUCCGCAGCUCCACCUGCCUGGCAGCCUCUGUUGAAACCAAACACACUCGGAGCGCCCAGUGCAACAUUCUUGGGGUGCCGAGUAGAAGCGCAGUAAAGAGAGACCCUAGCGGACUCCUGUCUGGUUUGCUUUUUACCGACUCUUACAGAAAAAAAGAGAAUGCCAUUGGAAGAAGCUCUUUUGCGUGGUGGGCGAUGUGUGGGUGGGGGACUUGUGGCAUGGCCCACGGUGUUGUUUCUGUGCCUGCGAUGACACACGUAUGUCUUGAGCUGUGGGCUCGCCUUCCUGGAGGUGCGCCCGACCGCAUCUGCUGGUGGGUCUGAGCGUGCUUGGGGUGUCCCAGGAGAACUGAGAGAACGGCUCCCACGUGCAAAGUUCCAAAGCAUUAAUAUUUUCAUCAUAUUAUCAUUAUUCAAUAUAAUAAUAUUUGUUCGGUUAGCGGCACUAAUUAGGCCACAUUAAAACCGUAGUGUGUCCCUAAUGGUGCGUAAUGUGCUCACACUCACAUUUUUCUCUCUGAGGAUGGGCGGCUGCAGGCUGGUAGGGGAGGAGAGACAGGCAAGCGGCGGGCUGGAUUAGGGCGUGACGCCCCCCACCACGCACACAAACAUACACAGCCCACUGGAUGUCUGCCGGGUGGGAGCCGCAAUCUCCGCGCGGUCGAUGGGGCCCUCCGCUGCGCACUCGGCCCUGCGCCGAGCACCCUGCAGCCUCCUCCCGCGACACGGCGCUUUGAACUCGGCGGAUUGAUUUUGCUUCCCUUCCCCCUUUUGUGUGUGUUUGCGUUCAAUUGGUUAGGUUUUUAAGAUUUGGGAGGGCUGGUGUGAAAGAAUUAAAAUACUCUUAACUGGAGCCCCUCCGCCGAGAACUGGAGGUCCCGCCUCCUAGUUCGGCGCUUUCAGGACCCUCUUCCCAGAGGGAAUUUCUUUCAGAAAUUCCAGGGUGGGCUUGUAAAAGACGCUUCCGCAGAGCAGGUCCCGUCAGGGUCUUUUUCCUGUUCCUGGUGCCAGCGGUCGGCCCGGGCGCCCCGCAGACCUCGGCGAGGUAGAUGUUAAGCUCGGAGAGUGCCCCUCCCGCAGGCGCCGUGGCGAGAUCACUCUGAAUAUGUAACAUAUUUGUAACGUGCGCCGAGGUGUGAUGUGUGUGCUGAAAUAGGGGGAUGGGGGAAUUCGAAGCCGGAUUGGGAAGGCGGGGGGGAGGCGCACAGAACUCACAAUGUACUUCGCAAUCUAACAAUCUGAACAUUCAUUU